rfam:Sarcophilus harrisii ctg7180002506273, whole genome shotgun sequence.
CGAAAGGCUCUUUUCAGAGCCUCUCACAUAUUUAAAGGGAGCCUGU